rnacentral:lncRNA from 1 species
CCGGGGUUCGUAUAGGCAGGGAGCACAGGCGUAAGGCUGAGAUCGGCUUCCCUAGAGCCUUUCAAACUGGAUGGACCUGCACUUGUUGCUUAAAUGUCUUGAGGCCUGUGUUUCCACAUCUGGGAAAUGGGGAAAUUGUGGUGUUUGCUGUGAAGCUUCCUCAUUGGCUGAUGAACUCAUCUGGUGUUCCUAAGACCAACACCUUCAGUCCCAUUUCACAAAGUCCAAAUCACAAAGGAGGAAACUAUUUAUUUGAUGAAUGCUGUAUUGAAGGUAAGGUGCUGGGCGCAAUAGAUACACUGAAGAAGCCCCGCUUGGGAAGCUGAGGUGGAAGAUGGCAAGUUUGAUGCCAGCCUGGUCCUGUCUGCCUGUCUGAGAUUGGGGUAGAGGCUGCGAGAGGAGAAGGAGGAAGAGGAGAAGGAGGAAGAAGGAGAAGAAUAGGGCUCUCCUUUCACUGAUAGGGUUUUAUUUUUCCACAGAUAAAGUGACGAGUCUUUUUUGGAAGAAAACAUCUAGUGUUUUCUUUACGUCAAGACUUUUCCAUCUUGUAUUUUGGCUAGAACAGCUAGCAA